CAGUCAGUAAGAUGGUAGACAGUUCAUUCAUUCAGUAAGAUGGUAGACAGUUCAUUCAGUCAGUAAGAUGGUAGACAGUUCAUUCAGUCAGUAAGAUGGUAGACAGUUCAUUCAGUCAGUAAGAUGGUAGACAGUCAGUAAGAUGGUAGGUAGUUCAUUCAGUCAGUAAGAUGGUAGACAGUUCAUUCAGUCAGUAAGAUGGUAGACAGUUCAUUCAGUCAGUAAGAUGGUAGUCAGUUCAUUCAGUCAGUAAGAUGGUAGUCAGUUCAUUCAGUCAGUAAGAUGGUAGACAGUUCAUUCAAGAUGGUAGACAGUUCAUUCAGUCAGUA
ensembl:lncRNA